rnacentral:rRNA from 1 species
AGACUUUAAUUCUGGCUCAGAUUGAACGCUAGCGGGAUGCUUUACACAUGCAAGUCGGACGGCAGCGCGAGGUAAGCUUGCUUACCUUGGCGGCGAGUGGCGAACGGGUGAGUAAUGUAUCGGAACGUGCCCAGUAGCGGGGGAUAACCACUCGAAAGAGUGGCUAAUACCGCAUACGCCCUACGGGGGAGAGCGGGGGACCUUUCGGGGCCUCGCACUAUUGGAGCGGCCGAUAUCGGAUUAGCUAGUUGGUGGGGUAAAGGCCUACCAAGGCGUCGAUCCGUAGCUGGUUUGAGAGGACGACCAGCCACACUGGGACUGAGACACGGCCCAGACUCCUACGGGAGGCAGCAGUGGGGAAUUUUGGACAAUGGGGGCAACCCUGAUCCAGCCAUCCCGCGUGUGCGAUGAAGGCCUUCGGGUUGUAAAAGCACUUUUUGGCAGGGAAGAAAAGGCUCUGGCUAAUACCUGGAGCUGCUGAACGGUACCUUGCAGAAUAAGCACCGGGUUAAAUAC